GGGGAAUAUUGGACAAUGGGGGCAACCCUGAUCCAGCAAUGCCGCGUGUGUGAAGAAGGUCUUCGGAUUGUAAAGCACUUUCGACGGGGACGAUGAUGACGGUACCCGUAGAAGAAGCCCCGGCUAACUUCGUGCCAGCAGCCGCGGUAAUACGAAGGGGGCUAGCGUUGCUCGGAAUGACUGGGCGUAAAGGGCGUGUAGGCGGUUUACACAGUCAGAUGUGAAAUCCCCGGGCUUAACCUGGGAGCUGCAUUUGAUACGUGUAGACUAGAGUGUGAGAGAGGGUUGUGGAAUUCCCAGUGUAGAGGUGAAAUUCGUAGAUAUUGGGAAGAACACCGGUGGCGAAGGCGGCAACCUGGCUCAUGACUGACGCUGAGGCGCGAAAGCGUGGGGAGCAAACAGGAUU
rnacentral:rRNA from 1 species